CAUUUUUAAAUUUAUCCUCUGUUUUACAUCAAUAAACAACGGUUUUCCUUCUCCCAAAACAACAGGGUGAAUAGAUAAUCUAAAUUCAUCAACAAGCCCCAAAUUUAUAAAAGUUGUAAUGAGACUCGCUCCACCAUAUAGCCAGAUGUCUUUGCCAGACUUUUUCUUCAAUUUAUUUACUUCUUCAAGAAUAUUAUCAUUUAUAAAUAUGGCUUGAUUAUCAAUCUCAUUUUGUGUUCUGGAAAAAACAUAUUUCUUUUUACUAUGAACCAAUUUCCAAAGUUCCUUUUCUGUAUCAGGAUCUUCAUUUUUUGGAAUAUAUUGUCCCCAUAAAUCGUAGCUUUUUCUGCCAUAUAAAAUAGUAUCAAUUUGAUUUAAGAAAUCAGUAAACCCCAUAUCAGGGUCCAUAAUGCACCAAUCAACUUCUCCAUUUUUCCCUUCAAUAAAACCAUCUAAAGUAACUGCUAAAUCUAAAAUGAUUCUUCUCUGUUUUAAGUUAUUUGUCAUAACUAUUCAUCCUUUUCCAUAAGAAGUUGGUAGAAAUUCUUCUCCCACUCUCGCACCAGAUAGACUAAGUUGCGUUUAUGGACUGAGUGAAGAACAGUAUCCUAAAAUGAAAGUGCCCACUACUUUUCGCAGCUUGAUUAGCCGGAACACUCUUUAUCUUCACUUGGUUAAAUGAAAGCUCUGCUCGAUUAAGUUAUAGAUUUCGCCUUCUGGAUCUGUCCGUUCUAAAACAAUUGAAAUCCAAUGUUCCUUAUCCAUAUGAUAUCCGGGUAAGAUAUUUUCCCCGUUUCUUAAGCUAUCACUUAUUUCAGGGGGACAUUUUAGAUUUAGAAUAUCUAUUUCGCCAUGACCAUCCAAGCCUAAUUUUUCUGGGAGAACAUUCAUGAUAAGACCGUACCAUUUUUUGUUUGAUGUAUGUCUCAAAGAAGCAUAGUUUGGGUAUUUCACCCACGGGUAAUCAGGCGAUGUACCGUAUUUUUCUUUGACGUGUUUAAAGAUAUCUUCUCUUGUUAACAUACUCAAUCACUCCUUUAUUCACUCUCAUUCUUUCAUAGAAAAAACAAAGGUCAACGGAUUUUUGGUAGUCUUUUGGACAUGUCACCAAUGGCAGAGUUAUAUCUAAUGCUUCUAAUCCCCACGGGUACCAUUCAAUGGCGGGUUGAAGGAAGUAUGCUUUUUCAUAUUGAUGAAUCUAUUAUUGUUAGUAGGCACGGGAUCAUCUAUUCCUUUUUACUGUACCACAAGCCUCUGUUGAAAUACCCCAUUAAGACAGUGAAAUAGAAAAAUCGCUAUAUAUAAAAGGUGAUGGAUGCUGUUCUUGAUCGAAACGAGUAUGCUAAUAUAAUCUCGUUUAGGAGGGGAUUGAUAUGAUCAAGAAAAUGGCUCAAAUGAAUUUGAAAGAUUUCAAUAAACCAAAUGAACCUUUCGUUGUUUUUGGGAGAAUGAUACCUGCUUUUGAAAACGGUGUUUGGACAUAUACUGAGGAACGAUUUUCUGAACCUUAUUUUAAACAAUAUGAAGAUGAUGAAAUGGAUGUUAGUUAUAUU
rnacentral:rRNA from 1 species